rnacentral:lncRNA from 1 species
CUUAUAAGGUGUUUGAACACAGUUGUGUGGCCACAGUGUGUGAAAAUAACCAGCCUAUAAUGGUAAAAAUCCACCCACUCAUUGUUUUAUAAUCCUAAUAAAUCAUAAUCAGUCUCCCCAGCAGUUCCAGAUUUCUCACUACUGUGAAGUCAAACUCGGGGAAAGUCCCGCCCAUUUGUGACGCUCUCUGUCCUAUUAGUAUACACACAGCCCUGAGUGAGAAACAGCGGUCCGCCAUUACUGUUUUCUUGCUGUAGCUGCUGGAGGUACAAUGUCAGCGCCAAAGAACCAUUAAAAGUGUCAUGUGUUGGGAUGCACAAACGAACAAAGGAGUCUCCAUAGACCGCUGAGGACAUGGUGGUUAAAUUUCAUUUUCGAAGGAAAUGUCCCAGAAAAGUCCUAUACGUUUGUGUUAACAUUUUACGCCAGACUGCCUCAUAAACGUUGUGCAAAAAUUGCUUCUGAAAGAGGGAUCGAUACCAAUGCUUCUUGCGCAAACGUCCAGACUACAGACAAAGCAGAGGGUGCUUUCUUUACUGCCCCUCCCUCACCGGCAGUGGCAGGAAUGUUAUAUGGCCGCCACCACCCCCUGGAGCUCACCUGUCCAAUUCAAGGUUGGAUAAGCAGUCAUGACCUCUCUGCACACUUCACAACACCUCAGGGAUGGCGCCCUAUUCUACACACCUGGUGUUUCUGGAGUCACCAAUAAAAUCAUCACAAAUGUUGCUUGUUUCAGUCAAAUGAGGCCUGACUCCACAUGACUCAGGACCAUCAAUUAACAUCUUGUAAAGUGAAAAUCUGCAUGUUUAAUAAAAAAAUUCACAAGAAAUUUAUAACUAGUGGUCGACCGAUAUUGGGUUUUUUUGACAGCCGAUGCUGAUGCCAAACUCAUUUAUUAUUAUUAUUAUUAUUAUUAUUAUUAUUAUUAAUAUUUAAGAAAUUUGAAAUCAUUUGACAAUGGAUUAAAAAACAAAUGUGUAAAAUAAACAUACUUAUACUUUAGAAGACAAAGUAUUUCACAAAUAAAUAAAUAUUAAAAAAAAAAAAGUCAAGUCUUUUCAAAAAUACUAUGUAUUGUAAGUGACCCACAAUCAGCCAAAUUACUUAUAAAAGUAAAAUUCUAUAGCAUUUUCUUUCUCUGCGGGGCAAAUAGAAAAAUGAAAUGCACUAUUACACAAAUGUAUCUACAUUUCUGGACCAUUUAAUUUUUUCCCACAUUGCUUGAGAAAGCCAUCUAGAAAAUUAGGUCAGACCCAGCUGAUGAAGAAAUUAUGUGAUUUAAUGGCCCCUGAGGGUCAACACAAAUAUAGCACUGCAUUAACUCUGGCCCCUCCUAGAACAGAGUAGCAAGGAUAUCACCCAUAAACAUCAAGAGAGAGACACGACACAAACGAAGCGCUGCUUACAAUGAACGGAUAGUGAAAUGAUAAUGAACAAAAUUACAUUAUGCCAAUCAUUUUAAUUCACAUAUUUAAUUUCUUUAUGCAUACUAUCAUAUAUUUAAUUUCUUUAUGCAUACUAUCAUAAAUGUUAAUUUCAUUAUCUGAUUAAGUGCAGCUCUUGAAAUAAUCCUAUUAAUUAAAAAUGCACUUUUAUUUCCAUGACUACUUUUCUUAUAUUCUUUUGAACAGUGCCUUACUUACUUAUUUUGAUUUGACCACUAGAUGGAGGAAAAUGUCUUUUGCAGCAGGUGUGCUCACCUUUCCAGGGUAUUUUAUCUCAUUUUACCAUCAUCACUAAGAAAUACAAAGAACACGCUACAAAACCUGGAAGAAAACACAACAUGAGUCACAUUGCGCAGAAUUAAAAACGAUUGUGCUGAAUAGAAAACAUUCUCAUUCAAGAUCAAAAGGAAUGAGAAAGCCAUGCCUUCAUUUGAUAUAAACCUAGCUAGGAAGAGACUUUGUACCCAAAACAUUUAAAUAAAGCAAUGCUGGAUUAACUCUCCCACUGUUUUCCAUUAAGAAUAGACACAAACACACCCAGACAUGCAGUCUUGUUAAAUGAGGUCAGGAGUGUUCUAAACAACAAAGUUUCCUGAAGUGUAAAAGUGAUAAUCUUCUUCUUUUAUCUUUACUCAACAUGUCACCUUACUUAAGAAAUACUGCCAAGAAGGGUUUGGUUAGCCGGCAGAUAUGCGGCUCAGAGGGUAUUCUUGUUAAACCAUCACAAAGAUUCUAUCGAAAUGCAUCUGGAGAAAUACAGAACUUUGUAUUGCAAGUGAGGUGUGGUCCAAAAGUAUGAGACCAUGUUGUAAAUCUAAAGCAUUGUAUCUUUAGAUGAGGA